rnacentral:tRNA from 1 species
UCCCUCGUCGUCUAUCCGGUAGGACGCAGCGCUCUGGACGCUGAAAGCAUUGGUUCGAAUCCAUGCGAGGGAGCCG